rnacentral:rRNA from 1 species
GAUGAACGCUGGCGGCGUGCCUAAUACAUGCAAGUCGAGCGAACAGACGAGGAGCUUGCUCCUCUGACGUUAGCGGCGGACGGGUGAGUAACACGUGGAUAACCUACCUAUAAGACUGGGAUAACUUCGGGAAACCGGAGCUAAUACCGGAUAAUAUAUUGAACCGCAUGGUUCAAUAGGGAAAGACGGUUUUGCUGUCACUUAGAGAUGGAUCCGCGCCGCAUUAGCUAGUUGGUAAGGUAACGGCUUACCAAGGCAACGAUGCGUAGCCGACCUGAGAGGGUGCUCGGCCACACUGGAACUGCGACACGGUCCAGACUCCUACGGGAGGCAGCAGUAGGGAAUCUUCCGCACUGGGCGAAAGCUUGACGGAGCACCGCCGCGCGAGUGAUGAAGGUCUUCGGAUCGUAAAACUCUGUUAUUAGGGAAGAACAAAUGUGUAAGUAACUAUGCACGUCUUGACGGUACCUAAUCAGAAAGCCACGGCUAACUCCGUG